UACGUAGGGUGCGAGCGUUAAUCGGAAUUACUGGGCGUAAAGCGUGCGCAGGCGGUUUGAUAAGUCAGAUGUGAAAGCCCCGGGCUCAACCUGGGAACUGCGUUUGAAACUAUCAGACUGGAGUAUGGCAGAGGGGGGUAGAAUUCCACGUGUAGCAGUGAAAUGCGUAGAGAUGUGGAGGAAUACCAAUGGCGAAGGCAGCCCCCUGGGUCAAUACUGACGCUCAUGCACGAAAGCGUGGGGAGCAAACAGG
rnacentral:rRNA from 1 species